rnacentral:rRNA from 1 species
AUUAAACGCUGGCGGCAUGCUUUACACAUGCAAGUCGAACGGUAACAGGGAGCUUGCUCCGCUGACGAGUGGCGAACGGGUGAGUAAUGCGUCGGAACGUGCCGAGUAGUGGGGGAUAACGCAGCGAAAGUUGUGCUAAUACCGCAUACGUACUGAGGUAGAAAGUGGGGGACCUUCGGGCCUCACGCUAUUCGAGCGGCCGACGUCUGAUUAGCUAGUAGGUGAGGUAAAGGCUCACCUAGGCGACGAUCAGUAGCGGGUCUGAGAGGAUGAUCCGCCACACUGGGACUGAGACACGGCCCAGACUCCUACGGGAGGCAGCAGUGGGGAAUUUUGGACAAUGGGCGAAAGCCUGAUCCAGCCAUGCCGCGUGUCUGAAGAAGGCCUUCGGGUUGUAAAGGACUUUUGUCGGGGAGGAAAUCCCCAGCGUUAAUACCGCUGGGGGAUGACAGUACCUGAAGAAUAAGCACCGGCUAACUACGUGCCAGCAGCCGCCGUAAGAC